AGAAGCACGAUAACACGUUGAAUGUACUAGUUCCCAAUGGAUCACUGAAGUUAGGCAACGUUGCGCGUGGUUGGUAUCUGGAUGGGUGACCAUCUGGACUAUGGCGAGUUACUGGCCUUUU
rnacentral:rRNA from 1 species